UACGUAGGCAGCAAGCGUUGUUCGGAAUUACUGGGCGUAAAGAGUGUGUAGGCGGUGCUCUAAGUCUGUUGUGAAAUCUCCCGGCUUAACCGGGAGGGUGCGGCGGAAACUGGAGUGCUUGAGGGUGGGAGAGGUAAGCGGAAUUCCUGGUGUAGCGGUGAAAUGCGCAGAUAUCAGGAGGAACACCUAUUGCGAAGGCAGCUCGCUGGGACGUUACUGACGCUGAGACGCGAAAGCGUGGGGAGCAAACAGG
rnacentral:rRNA from 1 species